rnacentral:misc_RNA from 1 species
GAUGAAGAACGUAGCGAAAUGCGAAAAGUAAUGUGAAGUGCAGAAUUCAGUGAAUCAUCGAAUCUUUGAACGCACAUUGCGCCCGCCAGUAUUCUGGCGGGCAUGCCUGUCUGAGCGUCAUUUCAACCCUCACGCCCCUAGGGCGUGGUGUUGGGGAUCGGCCAGCGCCCUCGCGGGCGAGGCCGUCCCCUAAAUCUAGUGGCGGACCCGUCGUGGCCUCCCCUGCGAAGUAGUGAUAUUCCGCAUAGGAGAGCGACGAGCCCCUGCCGUUAAACCCCCAACUUUCUCAGGUUGACCUCAGAUCAGGUAGGAAUACCCGCUGAACUUAAGCAUAUCAAUAAGCGGAGGA